rnacentral:rRNA from 1 species
GGGGAAUUUUGGACAAUGGGGGCAACCCUGAUCCAGCCAUGCCGCGUGAGUGAAGAAGGCCUUCGGGUUGUAAAGCUCUUUCGGCCGGGAAGAAACCGCACCGUGCUAAUCAGCGGUGCCUUGACGGUACCUUCAAAGGAAGCACCGGCUAACUCCGUGCCAGCAGCCGCGGUAAUACGGAGGGUGCAAGCGUUAAUCGGAAUUACUGGGCGUAAAGCGCACGUAGGCUGCUUUGUAAGUCAGGGGUGAAAUCCCACGGCUCAACCGUGGAACUGCCUUUGAUACUGCUUAGCUUGAAUCCGGGAGAGGGUGGCGGAAUUCCAGGUGUAGGAGUGAAAUCCGUAGAUAUCUGGAGGAACAUCAGUGGCGAAGGCGGCCACCUGGACCGGUAUUGACGCUGAGGUGCGAAAGCGUGGGGAGCAAACA